ACUCCUACGGGAGGCAGCAGUGGGGAAUAUUGCACAAUGGGGAAACCCUGAUGCAGCCAUGCCGCGUGUGUGAAGAAGGCCUUCGGUUGUAAAGCACUUUCAGUAGGGAGGAAGGUAGUGUAGUUAACACCUGCAUUAUUUGACGUUACCUACAGAAGAAGCACCGGCUAACUCCGUGCCAGCAGCCGCGGUAAUACGGAGGGGUGCGAGCGUUAAUCGGAAUUACUGGGCGUAAAGCGCAUGCAGGCGGCCUGUUAAGUCAGAUGUGAAAGCCCGGGGGCUUAACCUCGGAAUUGCAUUUGAAACUGGCAGGCUAGAGUCUUGUAGAGGGGGUAGAAUUUCAGGUGUAGCGGUGAAAUGCGUAGAGAUCUGAAGGAAUACCAGUGGCGAAGGCGGCCCCCUGGACAAAGACUGACGCUCAGAUGCGAAAGGCUGGGGAGCGAAACAGGAUUAGAUACCCUGGUAGCACAGAG
rnacentral:rRNA from 1 species